AAGAAAGAAGAAAACUAAAUCAUGUUCCUAAGUACUAGUGCCGCAGGAGUGAUUUUGAAUAUCUCCUGCUGCUUAAGUGCUUAUCAAUAGAUUUAGUAUUACUACGUAU
rnacentral:pre_miRNA from 1 species